rnacentral:lncRNA from 1 species
UAACUAAUUUUUUAGUAAUAUUUUUUUUUAACCAGCCAAUAAUGGAAGUUAAGCUCGUUUAUAUACAAUUAUUAUGCGAUCUUUACAAGAUUUUAUAGCCUUUUAAAACUUGACAUUUUUCUUCCAUAUAACAGAAAUUUAUAACAUUGUAAGUAAAAAUGAACCCGUGACAUUUAUUUACAGGUCAAGUAAUACACACUUGUUGUAACUACGUUUACGCCGCGUAAAAAUAAAAGUUUGACGUAAGAAAGUAACUUAAAAGUAAUUGAUCAUGCUGUGACGUAUGGUAAGAACGUCAUUGUCUCUACGUCUUUUAGUUAAUGACGACGAUUCUAUAAAUACCAUCGAUAGCCUUCGUUACAAAACUAUCGACUUCCGAUUUGAAUUGGAACGUCUAGAGGUUUUCUUAUGGUCAUCAAACUACUCUACACUAUACUGGAUUGUUAAAUGGUUAUAAUUUUUUCAUAAUGCGUCUAUCUUCGUCACGAUCUACUGGUGAAUUAUUCAUUAUAUUUAUUCGUCAAUAUUUAUUCGUAAACAUUAAUUAUUUAUGAAAUUAAAAAAGAGGAAUCUGAAUAUGAUCGUGUGUUUGAUAAAGACAGCUUCCCCAAGUCGUAUUGAACGAGCAGGCUUGGUCGUCAAGUCUGGUGGCGUUUCUGCCGAGGGCAACGCCCUCGCCAGCCCUCUCAUCCCCAUUCAGAAGAAACGUCGAAGAAAAAGAGGGAUGUCCCGAGGACGGGAAGGGUAAGCUUUCAACAGGGGUGGAAAUUACAGACAAGUUACAGCGAGUCGAUUCACUGUGCUCGAGCCAGUUCUACAGAUUGCUGAGUGGAUGUUGGGGACUGGAACGAAGUGGUGGAUGGUUUUAUGGUCGUCGAUGAUCCCGAUGCAACCGCCGAUUUCUCCGAUCUUUUUCGCCGAUCCUCGUUCGUGUAAUAACGGGAGUAGGGCGAAUUGUCCCACACCUGGGGUAUCUCGUAUCCCAGUUCAUUCACAGCGCCAUAACUGGAACAGAAAUUCUGCUUAUUAAUAUAAUUAAAUUUUAAAAAUAUGUAAAACUUGUUUCGUUAAACUUACUCGUAAUUUUUACGAUCGUAGAAGGCAUUGUUGAGCGUAUUGGAACGAGAUGGUUUCUCCUCUUCGAUGAGAGCUGCUUUUAAUCCGCCUAAUCCUGACGCGGCUAGAGUUCCUUGGAUCGAGACAAGGAAUUAUGAUAAAUCAAAAUGCUCGGAGAUUUACGAUGGGAGAAACUUACUCUUUUCCGCGGUGGACGAAUAGGACGAGCUAGGAUUGUUCUCUGGUUGAUGGUUCUGUUGGUUGCCGAACAUCAACAUUUCCUGUGCCCGUUUAGCUAAACAGUCAAAACAGGAUUAACAGGUUUGUUGGCAAGGAUUGGACAAUCAUGAGGAGGGAGCACAGAGUGAGUAGUAACCACACCCAAUCGCACAUCAUCUGUGAAGAAAGAUUGAUCCUUUUAUAUUAUCCUUUUAUAAUUUUUAUUCAAUUUUAUACUGGAGGGUAUAAUAGGUCUGAUACAAGUAUAUAUAUAUAUUGGCUAAGGUUAUGCAAAGGGUUUCUUGACCCUUUAAUCAAACGUGAAAUUGAUUGUGCAGUUAGAAGGGUUGCUAUAAAGUGUUUCCCCUCGUGCACACACGUUGACGUUUACACCCCUCGCAGUUAAAUGAAGAUAGCAGGUCACAACGAAAGAAUCUUAAAUGUCACACAAAUGCGAAAUGUCAGGAAUCUAUUUCCAUUGCAUGUGAAAAAUUAAAGGGCAUAUACGUCGCAACGUUCCAUAG